rnacentral:rRNA from 1 species
UACGGAGGGUGCAAGCGUUAUCCGGAUUUACUGGGUUUAAAGGGUGCGUAGGCGGGUAGGUAAGUCAGUGGUGAAAUCUCCGAGCUUAACUCGGAAACUGCCUUUGAUACUAUUUAUCUUGAAUAUUGUGGAGGUAAGCGGAAUAUGUCAUGUAGCGGUGAAAUGCUUAGAUAUGACAUAGAACACCUAUUGCGAAGGCAGCUUACUACGCAUAUAUUGACUCUGAGGCACGAAAGCGUGGGGAUCAAACAGG